CCCGCGCAGGCCUAGGCGGUUGCGAACACCCGCCUUCUGUUCCGCGCGCCCUAACUUCCGGUCUUUCUCUACGUCUAUUGGUCAAAUUCUCUGACUAUCGCGUCACGACCUUAAAGUGGAUUAGUUGGCCUUGUGGUCAGUCAUAGUGACCCCUGACGGUGGGAGACUUCAUUGGCGCCGUAAAGUGUCGGUCACUGUGUCACAGGACGUCGCGUGGUACAAUUGGUCAGGAAGAGUAAUAUUCAUCCUGCCCCCAUCUGAGGUGACGGGAAAGGGUUGGGGAAUUUCCACUUUCGAUAAAAAUGAAGGCUGAGGUGACGACUUGCAAGAAUUGGUGAGAUUUGGAGUAGAAUUCGCCAUGCGCGCGGGAAGCUUCUACAUCAACCCCCUGAAUACCGGCCUCACCUGAUGCCCAGGAAGCGGGGGGGCUCCCCCAGAGCACAGGCUCUGCUCUCUCUCCGAAGGCUGUCCAUGUGGGCCAGGGAAAUGACAGUGGCUGAGACAUACCAGGGAAGCCCAAGCGCUGAUGUGAGCAGCAUUAGCAAAGCCACACAGAAGAGGUCCAGGUGGAAGCCAGCUCCCUUCUGCAGGGACAGGUCUCACCGUGCUUAAGAGGUCGUCUGUGUCUUUUGGCUUUGUCCUUGUCCACUGAGACUCAUUUCCUGGGAAGCAGAGAAGAAUUUGGGUGUGUGCUCCGCCCCCGGGAACCUUCUCCAGCCCCUUCGGAGCCUAAUCUCAUGGGUCCAGCGGAACCAGAAAGUUCUGGCUCAUCUGUCUGCUGACUCCAAGAGCUACCAUGCCUGCUCCUCAGGACACUGCCUCAUGCCCUGGCUCCUUCAAAUUCUCUACUUAUCUGUAUCCCUGGUGCCCAGCACAGGACUGGCCAGAGCAGACGCCCAGCAAACAUUUGCUCAAGGGAUGAGCAUACAAAUCCACCAGUGGCGGAACUGGCCUUAUUCACGCCUGGCGCAGAGACUGGCACUCUUGAGGGGACACCCCUUCGCCAGUCCUGCUGUUUCCGUCAUGUGGAGGGAUAUAUGCAAGUGUAAUCCUCUGAGCUUCUCUCCACUAGAUCAGCCCCUCAGUUCAAGGGGAAGAGCAGCCAUUUAUUUGAUUGGUGAGCUUGGGAUUAGAAACGGGGCGUGCCUGGCCGGCCCUUUCCUCCCCUGCUCUCGGGAGUAAGCUGUCUGCACUUGCACCUAACUGCUCCUCUGGAGCAAGACAGUCCCUUUUCCAGCGUGGCCAUGACCAAGCGGGUAAGUCUGCCUAAUUUGGGUUUUAUUGUUAGGAAGCUCAUUCACCCAUAGAUAUCACCAUGUUCUUCGAUCAGCAUCGUCAGAAAUAAAGACGGUAUUGGGCCUGC